rnacentral:rRNA from 1 species
UACGUAGGGGGCAAGCGUUGUCCGGAUUUAUUGGGCGUAAAGAGCGUGUAGGCGGCCACACAGGUCAGCUGUGAAAACUCGAGGCUCAACCUCGAGACGUCGGUUGAAACCGUAUGGCUAGAGUCCGGAAGAGGAGAGUGGAAUUCCCGGUGUAGCGGUGAAAUGCGCAGAUAUCGGGAAGAACACCCGUGGCGAAGGCGGCUCUCUGGGACGGUACUGACGCUGAGACGCGAAAGCGUGGGGAGCCGAACAGGA